rnacentral:rRNA from 1 species
ACGGGAGGUAGCAGUGGGGAAUUUUGGACAAUGGGGGCAACCCUGAUCCAGCCAUGCCGCGUGCGGGAAGAAGGCCUUCGGGUUGUAAACCGCUUUUAGCCGGGAAGAAAAGGCCAUCCCUAACAGGGGUGGUUUUUGACGGUACCGGCGGAAUAAGCACCGGCUAACUACGUGCCAGCAGCCGCGGUAAUACGUAGGGUGCGAGCGUUAAUCGGAAUUACUGGGCGUAAAGCGUGCGCAGGCGGUUCGUUGUGUCGGUGGUGAAAGCCCCGGGCUUAACCUGGGAAUGGCCAUGGAAACUGGCGAACUGGAGUGUGGCAGAGGGGGGUGGAAUUCCGCGUGUAGCAGUGAAAUGCGUAGAGAUGCGGAGGAACACCGAUGGCGAAGGCAGCCCCCUGGGCUAGCACUGACGCUCAGGCACGAAAGCGUGGGGAGCAAACAGGAUUAGAUACCCUGGUAGUCCACGCCCUAAACGAUGUCAACUGGGUGUUCGGGAAGCGAUUUCUGAGUACCGUAGCUAACGCGUGAAGUUGACCA